GGUUAAGCGACUAAGCGUACACGGUGGAUGCCCUGGCAGUCAGAGGCGAUGAAGGACGUGCUAAUCUGCGAAAAGCGCCGGCGAGGUGAUAUGAACCUUUGACCCGGCGAUGUCCGAAUGGGGAAACCCAGUGCAAUCCGUUGCACUAUCGUUAACUGAAUACAUAGGUUAACGAGGCGAACCGGGGGAACUGAAACAUCUAAGUACCCCGAGGAAAAGAAAUCAACCGAGAUUCCCCCAGUAGCGGCGAGCGAACGGGGAGCAGCCCGGAGUCUGAAUCAGCUUGUGUGUUAGUGGAACGGUCUGGAAAGUCCGACGGUACAGGGUGAUAGUCCCGUACACGAAAAUGCACAUGCUGUGAACUCGAAGAGUAGGGCGGGACACGUGGUAUCCUGUCUGAAUAUGGGGGGACCAUCCUCCAAGGCUAAAUACUCCUGACUGACCGAUAGUGAACCAGUACCGUGAGGGAAAGGCGAAAAGAACCCCGGCGAGGGGAGUGAAAAAGAACCUGAAACCGUGUACGUACAAGCAGUGGGAGCCUCUUUAUGGGGUGACUGCGUACCUUUUGUAUAAUGGGUCAGCGACUUAUAUUCUGUAGCAAGGUUAACCGUAUAGGGGAGCCGAAGGGAAACCGAGUCUUAACUGGGCGUUAAGUUGCAGGGUAUAGACCCGAAACCCGGUGAUCUAGCCAUGGGCAGGUUGAAGGUUGGGUAACACUAACUGGAGGACCGAACCGACUAAUGUUGAAAAAUUAGCGGAUGACCUGUGGCUGGGGGUGAAAGGCCAAUCAAACCGGGAGAUAGCUGGUUCUCCCCGAAAGCUAUUUAGGUAGCGCCUCGUGAACUCAUCUUCGGGGGUAGAGCACUGUUUCGGCUAGGGGGCCAUCCCGGCUUACCAACCCGAUGCAAACUACGAAUACCGAAGAAUGUUAUCACGGGAGACACACGGCGGGUGCUAACGUCCGUCGUGAAGAGGGAAACAACCCAGACCGCCAGCUAAGGUCCCAAAGUCAUGGUUAAGUGGGAAACGAUGUGGGAAGGCACAGACAGCCAGGAUGUUGGCUUAGAAGCAGCCAUCAUUUAAAGAAAGCGUAAUAGCUCACUGGUCGAGUCGGCCUGCGCGGAAGAUGUAACGGGGCUAAACCAUGCACCGAAGCUGCGGCAGCGACACUUAUGUGUUGUUGGGUAGGGGAGCGUUCUGUAAGCCGUUGAAGGUGUGCUGUGAGGCAUGCUGGAGGUAUCAGAAGUGCGAAUGCUGACAUAAGUAACGAUAAAGCGGGUGAAAAGCCCGCUCGCCGGAAGACCAAGGGUUCCUGUCCAACGUUAAUCGGGGCAGGGUGAGUCGACCCCUAAGGCGAGGCCGAAAGGCGUAGUCGAUGGGAAACAGGUUAAUAUUCCUGUACUUGGUGUUACUGCGAAGGGGGGACGGAGAAGGCUAUGUCAGCCGGGCGACGGUUGUCCCGGUUUAAGCAUGUAGGCGGAGGUUCCAGGUAAAUCCGGUACCUUAUUAACGCUGAGGUGUGAUGACGAGGCACUACGGUGCUGAAGUGAUAAAUGCCCUGCUUCCAGGAAAAGCCUCUAAGCAUCAGGUAACACGAAAUCGUACCCCAAACCGACACAGGUGGUCAGGUAGAGAAUACCAAGGCGCUUGAGAGAACUCGGGUGAAGGAACUAGGCAAAAUGGUGCCGUAACUUCGGGAGAAGGCACGCUGAUGUGUAGGUGAAGCCCCUGCGGGUGGAGCUGAAAUCAGUCGAAGAUACCAGCUGGCUGCAACUGUUUAUUAAAAACACAGCACUGUGCAAACACGAAAGUGGACGUAUACGGUGUGACGCCUGCCCGGUGCCGGAAGGUUAAUUGAUGGGGUUAGCGGCAACGCGAAGCUCUUGAUCGAAGCCCCGGUAAACGGCGGCCGUAACUAUAACGGUCCUAAGGUAGCGAAAUUCCUUGUCGGGUAAGUUCCGACCUGCACGAAUGGCGUAAUGAUGGCCAGGCUGUCUCCACCCGAGACUCAGUGAAAUUGAACUCGCUGUGAAGAUGCAGUGUACCCGCGGCAAGACGGAAAGACCCCGUGAACCUUUACUAUAGCUUGACACUGAACACUGGUCCUUGAUGUGUAGGAUAGGUGGGAGGCUUUGAAGCGUGGACGCCAGUCUGCGUGGAGCCAACCUUGAAAUACCACCCUUUAAUGGCUGGUGUUCUAACGUAGACCCGUAAUCCGGGUUGCGGACAGUGUCUGGUGGGUAGUUUGACUGGGGCGGUCUCCUCCCAAAGAGUAACGGAGGAGCACGAAGGUUGGCUAAUCCUGGUCGGACAUCAGGAGGUUAGUGCAAUGGCAUAAGCCAGCUUGACUGCGAGCGUGACGGCGCGAGCAGGUGCGAAAGCAGGUCAUAGUGAUCCGGUGGUUCUGAAUGGAAGGGCCAUCGCUCAACGGAUAAAAGGUACUCCGGGGAUAACAGGCUGAUACCGCCCAAGAGUUCAUAUCGACGGCGGUGUUUGGCACCUCGAUGUCGGCUCAUCACAUCCUGGGGCUGAAGUAGGUCCCAAGGGUAUGGCUGUUCGCCAUUUAAAGUGGUACGCGAGCUGGGUUUAGAACGUCGUGAGACAGUUCGGUCCCUAUCUGCCGUGGGCGCUGGAGAAUUGAGGGGGGCUGCUCCUAGUACGAGAGGACCGGAGUGGACGCAUCACUGGUGUUCGGGUUGUCAUGCCAAUGGCACUGCCCGGUAGCUAAAUGCGGAAGAGAUAAGUGCUGAAAGCAUCUAAGCACGAAACUUGCCCCGAGAUGAGUUCUCCCUGAGACUUUAAGUCUCCUGAAGGAACGUUGAAGACGACGACGUUGAUAGGUCGGGUGUGUAAGCGCAGCGAUGCGUUGAGCUAACCGAUACUAAUGAACCGUGAGGCUUAACCUU
rnacentral:rRNA from 1 species